rnacentral:tRNA from 1 species
GGGGGCGUGGUGGAAUGGUAGACACAACGGACUUAAAAUCCGUUGACUGUUACGGUCGUGAGGGUUCAAGUCCCUCCGCCCCCA